GGGUGUGCAUGUGAGAAAGGUUUUGGCUUUAGUGUCUAUGGGUUGGUAAUAAAGGUUCUGAUGAUUUUUCUGAUGGAAAAGUGGUCUUUUAUUUCCAUAAUCUUUGUUCAGUGAACGCCUAAACACGUUUGUUAGUUAGCAGUUAAACAAAAUGCGAUCUCUUUGUUUACAGUUACCAACGACCAACUGAUGAUUGGGGGUUCCAUUCCCUAGUGAUGCAAGGUUUUUUCUUUCAUUUUGGACUGCACACACAUCGCGUGUGACGGAUACUCGCACAAUGGCCAAGGUACACACAUCACUGUCUUUACAAUUAUAGGCAACCGAAGUUUAAAGAUUGUCAAGUGGUUAACUCUUGAAUCGCACGUACUAAGACCUGAUGGGUUAGUGGUCAGAGAACUCAUUAACGCGGGGAUAAGGGGUUCGAUUCCUUAAUGAAGCUAGCUUUUUUCUUUCAUAUUUGACUGGAUGUUUGCAUGCCAUUUUGCGUAACUUGUAGUUUAUGAUGAAGAAAUGUUACUGGGGUUAAGGUUAGGGUAACGCUAAGGGUAAGACACAAAGUGUUUUUGCAACACAAUAUUUCUUACAAUAACAAAGUCCAAAGUUUUGAUGACUCCAGUAGGAAACUUAAGAUACCUAGAGAAAUGCGUGAGUGCUCACAAAACAUCAACAAGUCAGCAGUGUGGUACAGGGUGAUCAUUUCUGAUAUACAGUACAAAAGCUGAAACAAUAGGGGAUUAUCACGCUUCCUGGUUCCGGUGGCGGGAUUUGUCUUCGUUGUGCAUGAACACUUCCGGCGCACUUCCACCAUGGCUGAAACAAAGGCGAGAUGUCACUGCUCUCUGUUCCACUUUGUACAUCUAACAAACACCAACCCUACUUAAGUUUUCAUGGAUUCCCGACUGAAAUGAGUCUAAGGAAGAAGUGGAUUCAAGCGGUUCGCCGGGAUGAAGGGCCAAACUUUAAAAUAAAACAAGGUAGCAUGUUUGUUUGUAGCCGGCACUUUAGUGAAUCAGACUACAAACGCUACAGCUAGCAACCAACCGGGGUCACACCAAGCGACUGAAAAUCGGGUCUGUACCCUCCCGUUUCCAGUGGAACAACUGGGGACUGCCAAGAAGGGGGUCUGUUUAUAAAAGAGCAUCAACUCGCUUAGGCCUUGACGUUCACCCAUCCCUUCCUCUGGAGCAACCGCUGCCCUGUGAAUAAGAGCCGAUGGAGGAGAUCGCAGCUUCGGUGGUGAUGACAGAACAUGAUUUCGGUUCUGCUCCUAAACCAGGCCUGCAAGAGAAGGUGCUGGCUGACAUGUUUCAGAGCUGACUGAACGAAGUGGACUGCUGGAUUUACUGGAGCCAGGAGAUGGCUGCAUGGCAGACAAGGGUUUCACCAUCGAGAAGCCACUAGCUGAUCGUGGGGCAACGCUGAUUAUACCACCCUUCAAGAUGACAGUUCACUGAAGAGGAUGCUCUGAAAACACAAGCAAUCGCUCGACUUCCGAAUCCUCGUAGAAAGAGCAAUAGGCAGAGUCAAGGAAUACCGCAUCUGGGAACGCACUGUCCUUUCACCUUGUCUGCGACAGUCAAUCAGCUGUGGACCGUCUGCUGUGUGAUGACCAACUUCCAGGGACCACUUGAUUUAAAAGGCUACAUCCCUGUUGAAUAGUGUUUCUACUCAAACAUGUACCUAUAAAUAUUAAAUAUAAUAUAUAAAUAUUAAAACGAGAGGCACUGAACAUUUGGAGUGGUCCCCUCAUUUUUUUCCGGAGCUGUAAUUUUGUACACUGAAAACAUUGUAUAUAUUGAAUGACAUGUAAUGUAAUUGAAUGAGAAGUCUUUCAUCUAUAAUCAAGUCCAGUCAGUCCAUCCUGAAAGUAUUCAAAAUAAUGUUAAUAUAUAAUGUAGUAAAUGAUGUACUCAG
ensembl:lncRNA